rnacentral:misc_RNA from 1 species
AGAUUAUUCACAUUUAUCUGUCCUCCAGUAGCAUGACUGUUCACAUUACUCCCUCCAUCCCCCCCAAAUCGUGGAGAGGUAAACAUGGGCGAGAAUGGAGACCAGCUUGAAGUGUUAUCUGUAUUUCUAUUAAAAUCCUCCAAAGACAAUCCGAAAGGCAUAAAUCCCCAACAACAAAAGUUAAUUUCUUUUCCAUCAAUAAUUGGAGGAGGAGACGCAAUUGUUA